GAUCUUGUGAGGUUUAAAACUGUUUCAUGAUUUAGGAAGUUGUUCUGCUGCAGUGCUGCUGACCUAAAAUAUUGAGUGAGACAGAUGCUGGGGAGAGAGAGAGGAUACCAAUGAGGUUGGUAUUACCUGUGAAUUUCUAAUAUUUGCUGAGACUGGAGAAUUGCUUCUGUGGCAGUAGCUGUGCUCCCUGGAAGCCUAAUACUGUUAAUCAGUGAAGAAAGAUUUCACUGUUUCGUUACUUGCUACAGCUGAAACUCAAGGAAAUUACUUGAGUCUCAUUAUCAGAUAAAGUUAAGAUACCAGUAUGAAAGAAAACUUUUUCACACUCAGGUCGAGAGUAAUUUAUUUUUCCUAGCUCAGAUUUUAAAAAUAGAGAGCCAGCACAGAAGAAUACAAUAGAACUGCACAGAAUCUGGAUACCACAGAUCUGCUUUGAUACAACAACAGUUUCCAGCCUCUGUUUUAUCUGUAUAACCAUUCCUAGGGAAGUGCAGCUGCCAGCUCAGGUGCCAGAGCCCUGAGCAGGACCGACACAAAGGAGAAGCCCAGACGGGUCCUUGUUUUCCUUCUGAAUAACUUACUAAGGACUUGGCAAAACCUCUGGGAGUCUCAGUGGUGAAAUGUAAAACCUUCCAGCCCCUCUGCAUCCCCAGCCACAUCUGAGCAAGGGUAUGUGACUUUCCGAAGUGAGUUGAAACGUACUAAUUCGGAAGUGCCAAGAGCUGUGCUUCGCCACGCUUUGUAAAUGUCCACAUUUCUUCCCCAAGCUGGGAGUGUGGAGGGACUUGCUUUGCAGCCCAGAGGAUGACUAAAGUCUCAGUGUUAAUUAAAAGGGGAAGGACAUGAUGUCCUCCAUGGUGGAGGUCUUGAGGCUCGGUAUUCAGAUCAGGGUUUUUCAACUCCCACCACCUUGAGGAUGGCCAGUGUGGGGGUGCUCUAGGAGCUGCUUGGCAGAAACCUGCUGGCGCUGAGGAAAUGCCAGAAAGAGGCGGGUAUGGGGAGGAUGUUUAGGGACUAUACGACGGUCCAUUGCCUGGAGAUUGAUGUGCCUUCCCUCAUCACUAUGUUCAGGUCUUGGCUCUGA
rnacentral:lncRNA from 1 species